GGGCGUGGCUAUUUUGAGGAUGUGUGACUUUUUCGUUAUUUUAUUUUUGGGCCACAUGGACUCUAAUGGAAAGACUGAUUUUUGAGUUUCUCCAAUUAAAGAAAUUUCUCAUCAACUAAGAAAUCUGAAAACCUCAAGAAAAUCACAAAGAAGCCCAACUAAUUGGGAUUAAACUCUCUUCGAAUACGGUUGGUCUUUCAAACACAUCACACAUUCCAUUCAUAUUAUAAUGAAAAAAGCUUUUGCGACCAGACUUUUCUUUGUAAACCAAAUAUCCUUUGUCGC
rnacentral:lncRNA from 1 species